UUUGGCAGCCUAGACCUGUUAUCGCCUGCAACUCAUCUCGUUUAAUGUGUUUAUUUUAAUUUUCAAUGUUUGCCCGACGGCGUUUUAUUGCUUUCAAUUUUUGCGCAUGUUUUACGAGCGCAUUAACAUUAAGACAAACCAGCCGAUGCGAAGCCAAAAGAAUAUAAACUCAAUUAGAUAAAAGACUCCGAGUUGGCCAUUGAUGGCGCUGUAAAAUUCACUUGGCUACACACACACACACAUACGCACGCACGCACGCACGCACACACACACGCGUGCAAACAGAGGAACUGACGCACCCACGAAGAUACUCGAAAUUUUUUGGAAGCGUGUUAAUUUGUUUUUAAUUCUUAAGGCCUUAAGGCCAACGGAGAAAGUUGAGCAUUUGGCUAUAAAUUAACAUUUAGUUACGCUACAUAAAAACCUGUCUAAAACAAGCAGAAAGUGCAUGAGUGCGCUCGAGCGUGUGUGUGUGUGUGACGAACUUUGAACUCAAGGAGCAGCACACAUAGCAUCACUUUACAUCUGUUAACCAGAAAUAUAAGUUUGGCUUGGUAAUGUGUGCGAUAUACUUAUUCAGUUCAGCGAUAAGAAAGCAUAAACUUAGCUCUAAUACAUUAGCAAUGCGUAGACUGUCAGUGGCAUCAUUAGUUUUAUUUAAUUAUGCCUGCGAUAUUGAUUGCUUUGUUAAAGCAUAUUAAACCCCUUCACAGUACGAACCACUUAUGAAAAGUUCAAUUAUAUACGUAUAUCCCAAUAUUGUUGUGUUCCACCAACUGUGAUUCGGCAUCGACAUCGACCGCAAACCCAAUAAUUUAUUUGAUAAUGAAUAAUGAUGUUGAUUUGACACUCUCCAGACACGGCUCAACAUCAAAUGGAAAUCGUCACGCUUCUAAGCAACCGAUGCCGAUUCCCAAUUUCGAGCCCAAUCUAUUAGCAAUCACUGAGCAGGGAGCUCUCUACCCCCCCAUCAUCAUCAUCAUCAUUUGGAACUGUUUGCUGCGUAGGCAGCUCAUCUCGCUACUUGGCUAUUGAAAUUGUGCUUGGAGUGAUUCAUUUAAUGGAGCAUGAAAUCUGUAACAUUCUCUAAACAAUUUCACAGCACUGCAAAGUGGCCGCUAAUGAUGACUCUAAUUAGCUCUUAUGAGGUGUGUGGUCAAUAACAACCGUGACAAAGGUCCAUUCUUUGAGUUGAGAAUAAAUCCUGAAUGAUUUACAGAGAUUAAUUCAUAGCGGGGAAGAGGGAUAGCGAAAGUAUUGAUUGUAUAAAGCAUUUGUAUAAUUGUAUUAGCAGUUUUAAUUAGUAUUAGUAAUAUAAUUAGAGCAAUUGUAAAUGUUUCUCUCUAUCUUGUAUCUGAAUAGUAUUCACUUUUAGAGUAUUAUGGAUGCAGAGGAAAGUAUGAAUAUUGUAAUUAGAUAAUUUGUAAAUUCUCUGUCUAGCUUCUUGUAUCUGAAUAGUAUUAAUUUUCUUAGAUAGUGCGAGUAUUUGCAGUGGUAGUAAAAAGAUAUAAUUAGAGAAUUUGUAAUCAUAUAA